CAUAGAGAACGCGGGCGAGAGCGUCUCCUCGGAGUGGAAGGGCGGGGCCAGGGCCGGCGCUGCUGGGCGAUAGAGUCUGCCCAGCCCACCGCCGGGUCCCGGGAGAGACCACGGCAGGGAUGGACGCUCUGAGAGCGAUUCACCGGCGGUCGAUUUAGCGGGUCUAAUACAGCCCCGCCAAAUCGAGUGCAGAUCGCUCUCCAGUAGCCCCCGCUACUCUACCCCGACCAGAAGAGUAAAGUAAGUCGAGGGAGAUUUUCUCCCACCGACCCCGCGGUAACUCUAAGGUAAACAAGGAUGCAUCUCCUGCACGCGUGUGGCUCAGAUCCCUAUGCAGCUCACCUCUGUGCUGCUUUGGUCCCUGCACAAGUGAUUGCCGAUUGGCGCAGGAAAGUUUCCUACAAUGGGGGAAAAGAACAAAGCAGCUCUGCCAAGGAACCCUCAGCAGAGGAUUGCAUAUAGCAAAGGACAGCUCUACCUCAUAUAACCGAACAGCAUCGACUCAAAAAGAUCACUUACCAGAGCUCCCCUCUCCUGCAUCAUGCGCAUCAGAGAUAGAUUGCUGGGACUGGCUCGAACCUGCCUGAGUCAAGAAGAGGUCCUGGCUCGCCACGGUACUGGAUGACUGUUGCCUGUCCCACCUCGUCCUCCAACUCAACCUCCUUGUUCACGACUUCGUCCUCAGGGUUGAGUCCACUGUCUGCUGUCUCCAGCCGCUGCCCCCCCGGCCCAAGUAUCCACAGGGAUCUUGGUGGUGAAGGUGGGGUCACCACCAAGGAUGGCGUCCAGCUCCUUAUAGAAAUGGCAGGUCUCCAAUGCAGCACCAGAGCAACGGUUUGACUCCCUUGCCUUCUGGUACACCUGCCUCAACUCCUUUAUCUUCACAUGCCACUGAUGCAUGCCCUGUUCAUAGCCGUUAUCCAACAUGCCACGAGAAAUCUGACCAUGGGUAUCAAAGUUCCUAUGGCUGAAGCUGAGCUGGGACUUCACAGCUGCCUCUCCCCACAGAGCCAGCAGAUCCAACAACUCAGGUGUGCUCCAAGCGGGAGAGAGUUUGCUGCAUGGAGCCACCAUGAUCAGCUGGAAAGAUGCAAUGUGAGUUCUCCAUGCCAAGCAAACAGGAAGUGGAAUUACAAAAAUUCCUGGAUCUUUAAAGGAGGUGGUGCAGAUGCCUGUGUACCUGGGUGCAGGGCAGUUGAGUUCGAACUGCUGACUAGAGCAGCCAGGACGGGCAUUGUGGGACACUUCCUGGAAGCAAUUUACAGCGACAUAACCAAGUGCAGUGUCUACACUGACACUUUGUCUAUAUAACUUUGCCACAAAAAGCUCAACACCUCAAUGAGAGGUGAUUUUAUUUUGUCGGCAAAGCUGGAGAGUUUUGUUGGUGAAAGGAGAAUUAUACUGUGUACAUCUCCAUUGUUUUGUUGACAAAAGAUUACUUUUGUAGGAAGGAAUUGGUUAAAACCAAGGUGGGAGAUAAUUAGGGCAAGAGUUUUAGCAGUCAGGAUAUAGAGAAAAGUGAAUUUGCAAAACAUGGAAGAAGUAGCAGGAUAUGACUACUUCUCGAGUAGCUAGUCCUGGGACCCACAAGGGGAGAGGCAAUUAUUGAUUUUGUCCAAAGUGGCGUACAGGAUCUGGUCCAAGAGAUGACUAUAGCUGAGGUGCUUGGUAAUAAUGACCAUAAUGUAAUUAUAUUUAACAUCCUUGUAGGGGGGAAAAUACCAAAGAAACAGACCAUAGUAGCAUUUAACUUCAAAAAUGGGAACUACACAAAAAUGCUAGUUAAACAGAAGUUAAAAAGAACAGUCAAAGGUGAAACAACUGAAUGGAGGGUAUUACUGGAGAGACAGUCUCUCAGUAUUCCAUUAGAUUUCUGCAUCUAUAUAGAUAAGAUUCCAGGAAUGUCACUGUGGAUCACACUGAAGCCUAUUAUGUCUGUAGAGUCAGCAUGAAGCAAUGGAAUCAGCUACAAGUAUGUUCAGAAUAUCACCAGGGUGCAUUAUUACUGGGUUUCACCAUCUGUGACCAUCCAGUUUUUAAGUUCUCAGUCAUUUUCACUUUACAAAUUACACCUGUGUGGUGUACAGCUACAGUAAGACAUGUAUUUAUGACAUACCAAGAGUCAUAAGACCAUUGUUACCUCUGAUAUCGCAACCAAUCACCGACCUUACUCUACAGCUGAUUUGCAUAAAACAAUUUCACUGGAUAUAUGAGGGCAAUUGCACAGAUGGCUUGAUCACUUGGCCCAGCUGCCAUCAACAGCUCUCCCAGCACAACCUCCCCCAGAUACAAAACACCACCACAACCCACCAACAAUUAGUAUGCACAAUAAACCCUCCUGGCAAGACACACCCUUCAUUCACCAUCAUCAUCAAAAAUCAAUAAAAAUAUAUCAGCACAAUAGACACCCUCACUCAGACUUACCAUAAAACCAUAAA